UUGUAACACUCUUAACCAUUAAUUUUCACUAGCAAAGACCAAAAGCAUGCAUUGUUUGGAGAUCUAUUUUACCAGGACAUUCUUUACUCAGCUCACUGUUCACAUUCUUGCUCUUGUCACAUGCCUUUGCUUGAGGACAAGCAAAGAUUUAAGUGUGGGGGAACUUGAUAAGCACAUUUCAUAUACAUCUUUUGGCACUUAAAUAUGUGGUUUAUUGAGAUACGACCAUCAAUUCUUGCUGUGAAAUAUUGAAUACUUGUAUGAAAAUCAUAUAAAGAAUCAUUUACAAGUCAUUUGUUUCUUUUGCAGAAAGGUGCGCAAAGGCACUAUAAACUUCCAAGAUCUGGACUAGGUGGCUAAGAGAAUUAGUCAAGUGAAAAGAAGAGAAGGAAGAAAGGACUUGGGUGUGAUGAUAAGAGCUAACCAGAGGGGCUAGCCAAAGAAGAGAGGGACCAACUUGGGAAGAAAGAAGAGAAGUAGGAGGGCAAAAUUGCAAAGUGGCAAAUCAGAUCGUGAGGGAUCAAAAUCCCUAGCACAACCACCGAUCCCCUUCAGGCCUGGCACUUCUCUCUCCCUCCCCUGCCUUCUUCUCCAUCUCAGGCCGCCGCCACGGCCAGGCCGGCGUGGUAGGUGCGUCACCAGCACCCAGCGCCACCCACCCACCAUCUUCGCCGCCGCGCCACCGCACCAGCAGCCUCCAUCACCCCCAUCCACCGCAACAUCCAUCCAUUUCAGCUGCCGCCGCGCCUAGAUCCUUCCCCCUGCUGCCCGCUUCUCUCUUCUUCUCUCCAAUCUUCUUCUCUUAACCCUUCUGCUCCUCCUUCCCUCGUCCUUGCUGCUGCUCUCUCCCUCUCAUAGCGCUGCUCCUCCUCUCCCCUCGCCCCUACUGCUGCUACUCCACUUCCUCAUCAAAUCUUGCUGCUGCUUCUCUGAAUCCUUCUUGCUGCCGCUCUCUACUGCUUCUACUCCAUCUCCUUGCACUCCUGCUUCUUCUUGUUUUCUGAAUCCCCAGACGCUGAUGCUACUCUCUCGCCCCGCGAACCUAUUACUGCACCUUCUCCUUAACUCUCUCUGAACCCCCUACUCCUCUUCACCUACAACUCUCUCUCAUUCUCUAAUUUCUGUAAUUUUGAGUAGUGUAAUGAUCAAUACUAUGUAAUGUUCAAUUUUGUUAAGUGUAGUAUCCUACUGUUUGGUUCAGUUUCGGAGUUGUAUUAUAUAAUGUUUGAUUUGUAUGUCCUCACUAGUUGAUACCUUGUCACUUUGAGAAGUACUUCAUCUGUCAUACUUUGCUUAGUGAAAUAAUAAUCUGCAUAUGUAUGUGUUGUCCUGUGAUGUAUAAAUAUGUGUGUGUUUGUGAUGGGCAAAAUCUAGCCUCUGUCAUAUUAUCUUGUUUCUUCUCUCUGUACUUGUUUUGUCAUGUGACUUUCCUUUCGUGUAAGUUUCUAUUGUCUCUAUUAGUAUGAAAAUACCAAAAAGACAGUAAGUAAAAUCUUAGUCUGCCUGUGCUUAUUUUUGCAUUUUCUUUGUCGACGAUCUUUGGGAACGACCUUGUUAGUUUAGGUCUAUAUUUCCUUGCAAUCAUCAUCUGAAUUCUAUCACCUAGCUUUAGCCGAGCAGUGUUGCCAUCGCCUAGUCCCUGUGGAGAACACAACACUCGCAGUUUGGGCGAAAUAUCCCGCUGUACUUACAUUUGAUCAUUUUGGCGCCGUUGCCGGGGACUAGCGUCAAACGAUUGUGUGAAGCUAUAGACUAGGCUUAGUAUAGUUUUUCUUUAAAUUUCCAUUCAAAUUUAUUUCUAUGCUUCUUUUACCUUUUUACUUUUUGUUGCUUCGGCUUAUUAGGAUACUAACUUUCUGACUAGUGUUUACUGUUUAUGAGUGUGUGUAGGAAAUCUGGACUAAUUGCAUGUUGUUCUAUAGUUACACUCGGUUAAGAUGGCAUUGCUUCGUGAUCUUUGGAUGCCCAAAAGUCAGUGCUAUAUCACAGGACCGGUUUGGCCAACUAUUGAGGCAGAGAACUUUGACCUAAAACCUAUUCUUAUUGCUUUGGUUCAACAACAUCAGUUUGGAGGACUGCCUACUGAGGAUCCCUAUGAGCACCUACACCGAGUCAUGGAGUAUUCAGGUACAGUCAAGUACCAUGGAGUUCCUCAAGAUGCUAUCAAGUGCAUGUUGUUCACAUUCUCUCUCCAAGAUGAUGCUCGUGCUUGGUAUCGAUCCUUUCCAUCAAGAUCAUUCAGUUGGAACGAGAUAUCACAAGCUUUCUUGGAUAAAUAUUUCCCACUACACAAGCAGUCCGCAAUUCGAGAUGAGAUCUUCAGCUUUGUUCAGCGUGAAGGCGAGAGCUUGUAGGAUGCUUGGGAGAGAUACAAGGCUUUAUUCAGGAGAUGUCCUAACCACGGGCUCGAGAGAUGGUUAGAGUUUUAGAUAUUCUAUAGAGGAUUGACUUCGUACACUCGAUCUUACGUUGAUAUGGCAGCGGGUGGAGCUAUUACAAACAAGACACUUGAUGAUGCUUUUUUGCUGAUUGAGAGCAUAGCUUUCCACCAACUUCAGUGGUAUAGUGAGAGACCCAGCUCAGAUUUGUUGGUUUGCUGUCACCACACUUCAACUCAGCAAGAAUGUCUUACACAAAAGCCAGAACCAGUUUCUCUGUGUGACAAGAUUGAGCUUUCAUGGAUUAUCUUUGAUGAUGAUGACACCAGCCUAGUUGACACACACUGCAGAUCAUAUGGAUAUUAGCAUUCGAGAUUCAGUUUUGCAUUGUGAUGAUUCUUCCGUGGAUGAACCAGAGCUGCAGUUAGUUGCUUUUGAUAUUGAGAAGUCACCUUUAGUUCAUAUUGAUCAUGUGCUGGUAGAGCCAGAUAUGGAGAAGUUCUCCUUCGAUGAUGUCAGCUGCAUUGAUUCCUCAACACUUGAGCCUGAGAUGGAGAGCUUCAUGGUUGAUUAUGAUGAGGUGGAUUCAGAUGUCAAGGAGCCAAGCUCUACUAUUUUCACUUGUUGACACGAUUCCGGUGGAAAUUUCUACAACCACACCUCACUUGAUAUCUUCAAUUGAGGUAGUCCUGAAGCUUCUUCCUAACUAUCUCAGGUAUGAUCUCAGCUUUCUCGACAAGAUAUGCCAUAUCAUGGAUACUGCCUAUGCACCGUGCGAUUUAUUGAUGCUAUCUAUUUAUCAUAUGCUCCAUAGAUAUGCUUAUGUGAUAGGAUACUCUAUUGAUGACUUAGAGGGCAUUGUCCCUACCAUUUGUAUUGGCUUGUUUGUUGAGUGUUCUUUCAGGUUUACGCUUGUGCACCAUUCAUUGUGGGCUGACCAAGUUCGAGAUGACAUCCCAUGGGAUCCUGGUGGACCCAAAGCAUGGCGAUGAGGAGAAGCAAUGGGGCACACACGAAGAAGAGUGAAGCUGGAGAAUCCAUGAGGAAGCAAAGGAGAAGAGCUGCAGUUGGUGAGAUGAUCGAGCGAGUGCUACACCAUCAAAGCCCGGUGAGCUGUUUCAUGACCCAUUUCGAAUAUAUCAUCCAUUGAUACAUGCUGAAAUCAAUUGCUAUUUGGGUUGCUUGAGUCAUUUCUUAAAUAUCGUCCCACUGAAUUUUACCUUCGACAUAGGGUGAUUGAUGUGAAUAUGUGAAUUGAGUGUUGAAUGCCUUGUAAACUAGUGACCUAUACAAUGCUUGCUUUGCUGAAAGUAGUGGAAGCUAUUAGUUUUGAGUGCUCAAAUCCCUAGUACACUAGAAAACUUAAUCAUUUUUUGCUUUUACCUUGAUACACCUAGAUCAUCAAGUGUUAGAUGCUGAAUUUGUGCCAAGUGUGUUCCCAUUUAGAGCAAUCACUUAACCACUAUGGAUUAGCAUGCUAUGUUCUCUGGAUCGGUAGCAUGUGAACCAGAAAUGGAUGAGUGAUGAUUCUUGUUUCCUUAUGUUUCAUGCCAUUGUAAUUCCUUUGUUCAAUAUGUAAUAAUAAAUAAGUCUGACUACCUAUAGUAGCAUGUCAUGUUCCCUGGAUCGGUGGCAUGUGAAAUCGGGUUAGCUUGGGCAGUAAUUAAUAAUAAACAUGUAAUUGUCGAACCAGGUGUAUACCAUGUUCUUGGGAUUGGUGGUAUGUUCCUUAGGGGAGACAAACAAAAACAAAAACUAAUAAUUGGUCGAGCCAGGUGUAUACCAUAUUCUCGGGAUCGGUGGUAUGUUCCUAUGGUGAGAAUAAUAAUAAUAAUAUAAUCAUUUCUUUAUCUCUGUAAAUAAGUGAUUUGAUCACAAGAUUUAAUUCUAGUUCUUUUUGUUCUCGGGAUCAUGCUCUCUUUAGGAACCAUUUGGCACAGUCAUCAUUUAAACUUGUCGAUCUUCUGUUAUCAUUGUAGAAGUUUUAAAUGAUUGAGUCUACUAGUAUCCUACUGCUUUGUAACACUCUUAACCAUUAAUUUUCACUAGCAAAGACCAAAAGCAUGCAUUGUUUGGAGAUCUAUUUUACCAGGACAUUCUUUACUCAGCUCACUGUUCACAUUCUUGCUCUUGUCACAUGCCUUUGCUUGAGGACAAGCAAAGAUUUAAGUGUGGGGGAACUUGAUAAGCACAUUUCAUAUACAUCUUUUGGCACUUAAAUAUGUGGUUUAUUGAGAUACGACCAUCAAUUCUUGCUGUGAAAUAUUGAAUACUUGUAUGAAAAUCAUAUAAAGAAUCAUUUACAAGUCAUUUGUUUCUUUUGCAGAAAGGUGCGCAAAGGCACUAUAAACUUCCAAGAUCUGGACUAGGUGGCUAAGAGAAUUAGUCAAGUGAAAAGAAGAGAAGGAAGAAAGGACUUGGGUGUGAUGAUAAGAGCUAACCAGAGGGGCUAGCCAAAGAAGAGAGGGACCAACUUGGGAAGAAAGAAGAGAAGUAGGAGGGCAAAAUUGCAAAGUGGCAAAUCAGAUCGUGAGGGAUCAAAAUCCCUAGCACAACCACCGAUCCCCUUCAGGCCUGGCACUUCUCUCUCCCUCCCCUGCCUUCUUCUCCAUCUCAGGCCGCCGCCACGGCCAGGCCGGCGUGGUAGGUGCGCCACCAGCACCCAGCGCCACCCAUCCACCAUCUUCGCCGCCGCGCCACCGCACCAGCAGCCUCCAUCACCCCCAUCCACCGCAACAUCCAUCCAUUUCAGCCACCGCCGUGCCUAGAUCCUUCCCCCUGCUGCUCGCUUCUCUCUUCUUCUCUCCAGUCUUCUUCUCCUAACCCUUCUGCUCCUCCUUCCCUCGUCCUUGCUGCUGCUCUCUCCCUCUCCUAGAGCUGCUGCUCCUCUCCCCUCGCCCCUACUGCUACUACUCCACUUCCUCAAAUCUUGCUGCUGCUUCUCUGAAUCCUUCUUGCUGCCACUCUCUACAACUUCUACUCCAUCUCCCUGCACUCCUACUUCUUCUUGUUUUCUGAAUCCCCAAACGCUGCUGCUACUCCCUCGCCCCGCGAACCUAUUGCUGCACCUUCUCCUCAACUCUCUCUGAACCCCCUACUCCUCUUCACCUACAACUCUCUCUCAUUCUCUAAUUUCUGUAAUUUUGAGUAGCGCAAUGAUCAAUACUAUGUAAUGUUCAAUUUUGGUAAGUGUAGUAUCCUACUGUUUGGUUCAGUUUCGAAGUUGUAUUUUAUAAUGUUUGAUUUGUAUGUCCUCACUAGUUGAUACCUUGUCACUUUGAGAAGUACUUCAUCUGUCAUACUUUGCUUAGUGAAAUAAUAAUCUGCAUAUGUA